UACGUAGGUUGCAAGCGUUAUCCGGAAUUAUUGGGCGUAAAGAGCGCGCAGGUGGUUGAUUAAGUCUGAUGUGAAAGCCCACGGCUUAACCGUGGAGGGUCAUUGGAAACUGGUCGACUUGAGUGCAGAAGAGGGAAGUGGAAUUCCAUGUGUAGCGGUGAAAUGCGUAGAGAUAUGGAGGAACACCAGUGGCGAAGGCGGCUUCCUGGUCUGUAACUGACACUGAGGCGCGAAAGCGUGGGGAGCAAACAGGAUUAGAUACCCG
rnacentral:rRNA from 1 species